rnacentral:rRNA from 1 species
UACGAGGGGGGCAAGCGUUGUUCGGAAUUAUUGGGCGUAAAGGGUGCGUAGGCGGUUUGGUAAGUCUUAUGUGAAAUCUACAGGCUCAACUUGUAGUCUGCAUGAGAAACUGCCGGGCUUGAGUAUGGGAGAGGUGAGUGGAAUUCCUGGUGUAGCAGUGAAAUGCGUAGAUAUCAAGAGGAACACCAGUGGCGAAGGCGAGUCCCUGGACAACUUCUGACGCUGAGGCACGAAAGCUAGGGGAGCAAACAGG